UACGUAGGGUGCGAGCGCUAAUCGGAAUUACUGGGCGUAAAGCGUGCGCAGGCGGUUUUGUAAGUCAGAUGUGAAAUCCCCGGGCUUAACCUGGGAACUGCGUUUGAAACUACAAGGCUAGAGUGUGGCAGAGGGGGGUGGAAUUCCACGUGUAGCAGUGAAAUGCGUAGAGAUGUGGAGGAACACCGAUGGCGAAGGCAGCCCCCUGGGUUAACACUGACGCUCAGGCACGAAAGCGUGGGGAGCAAACAGG
rnacentral:rRNA from 1 species